GUUGGCUUGGCCUCCAAAUCCUCGCCCUUUGCCUUUGUUAGAUCUUGGACCCUUGUUGAAAUUCGGUCUUUCUCCUUGGCGAAACUUGGUAUGUCCACCAGAAUGUUGUAUAAUCUUCCUUUCCGCCUCUAACACAAUCUCAACAUUAACAGCUUUUUCCACCAGAUCCGAUAAGCUGCUAAAGUUGCUUCCAGCUAAACGACUUCCA
rnacentral:lncRNA from 1 species